rnacentral:lncRNA from 1 species
GUUUGCUGUUGUGGGAGAGGGCUCCAAGUUACCAGAGCUGGCGAGGAGCAGGGGAUGUUCCCGGCUCUGCCUGGAGACCUCGCCCCAGCCUCAGUUUCCCCAUCUGCCCAGUGAGGGGCAGGAAUGAGAUCAACGGUCCCUAGCCUGAGGUUCCAGGAGUGUGCCACAAAGGCCUGGGGAGGAAGAGGAGGCCGGCGGCUCAGCCAGGACUGGAAAGGCCUUCCGGAUGCCAGGGUUGAGAGCAGCCCACCUGACUCAGCCCGUGCCACCUGCCAAGAGUGUUGUGAUGAGGAGCGUAACCCAGCUCAGCCAGACACUGAACCAGUUGUUACAAAUGAAAGAUGAGUGUUUCCACUGGGCAGGGGCAAGGGGCCGUGGAAAUGUAGUUGGGGAGACUCACCUGGUUGGGAGUCAGCGGAGGAAGCCUAAGUGGACGUUGGCUGGGGAGGAGGAGGGGUGUGCCGAGGAGGGGAGCCCGCUGGAGGGACCUGGGCAAGUGGGGAGGGUGCCCAGGCCGGCGUGUGUUGUCUGGUGGAUGGGACAGCCUUGAGAAAUGUUGUGUUUAUAAAAGUUGUUCACGGAAACACGUUCCUUUACCAAUUAGCUCCCGUUGGCCAAAGCACAGUUAAUGUUCGGAAAAAGCAAAUCUCCAGAAUGUUUUCCCCUUUUCUGUAGUUUUUAUUCUCUUUUCCAUUUCCAC